CUUUAGCCCCGAUCGCAGUGAAAAUCCCCCGCUUUUUCUGCGGGGAAUUGUAGCGAAGAGCGGGAACGAUG
rfam:Flavobacterium sp. LM5 Flavobacterium_sp_LM5_contig3, whole genome shotgun sequence.